rnacentral:rRNA from 1 species
GACGAACGCUGGCGGCGUGCUUAACACAUGCAAGUCGAACGGAAAGGCCCUGCUUUUGUGGGGUGCUCGAGUGGCGAACGGGUGAGUAACACGUGAGUAACCUGCCCUUGACUUUGGGAUAACUUCAGGAAACUGGGGCUAAUACCGGAUAGGAGCUCCUGCUGCAUGGUGGGGGUUGGAAAGUUUCGGCGGUUGGGGAUGGACUCGCGGCUUAUCAGCUUGUUGGUGGGGUAGUGGCUUACCAAGGCUUUGACGGGUAGCCGGCCUGAGAGGGUGACCGGCCACAUUGGGACUGAGAUACGGCCCAGACUCCUACGGGAGGCAGCAGUGGGGAAUAUUGCACAAUGGGCGGAAGCCUGAUGCAGCAACGCCGCGUGCGGGAUGACGGCCUUCGGGUUGUAAACCGCUUUCGCCUGUGACGAAGCGUGAGUGACGGUAAUGGUUAAAGAAGCACCGGCUAACUACGUGCCAGCAGCCGCGGUGAUACGUAGGGUGCGAGCGUUGUCCGGAUUUAUUGGGCGUAAAGGGCUCGUAGGUGGUUGAUCGCGUCGGAAGUGUAAUCUUGGGGCUUAACCCUGAGCGUGCUUUCGAUACGGGUUGACUUGAGGAAGGUAGGGGAGAAUGGAAUUCCUGGUGGAGCGGUGGAAUGCGCAGAUAUCAGGAGGAACACCAGUGGCGAAGGCGGUUCUCUGGGCCUUUCCUGACGCUGAGGAGCGAAAGCGUGGGGAGCGAACAGGCUUAGAUACCCUGGUAGUCCACGCUGUAAACGGUGGGUACUAGGUGUGGGGUCCAUUCCACGGGUUCCGUGCCGUAGCUAACGCUUUAAGUACCCCGCCUGGGGAGUACGGCCGCAAGGCUAAAACUCAAAGGAAUUGACGGGGCCCCGCACAAGCGGCGGAGCAUGCGGAUUAAUUCGAUGCAACGCGUAGAACCUUACCUGGGUUUGACAUGGAUCGGGAGUGCUCAGAGAUGGGUGUGCCUCUUUUGGGGUCGGUUCACAGGUGGUGCAUGGCUGUCGUCAGCUCGUGUCGUGAGAUGUUGGGUUAAGUCCCGCAACGAGCGCAACCCUUGUUCACUGUUGCCAGCACGUUAUGGUGGGGACUCAGUGGAGACCGCCGGGGUCAACUCGGAGGAAGGUGGGGAUGACGUCAAGUCAUCAUGCCCCUUAUGUCCAGGGCUUCACGCAUGCUACAAUGGCUGGUACAGAGAGUGGCGAGCCUGUGAGGGUGAGCGAAUCUCGGAAAGCCGGUCUCAGUUCGGAUUGGGGUCUGCAACUCGACCUCAUGAAGUCGGAGUCGCUAGUAAUCGCAGAUCAGCAACGCUGCGGUGAAUACGUUCCCGGGGCU